rnacentral:rRNA from 1 species
GAUCCUGGCUCAGAACGAACGCUUGCUGCAUGCUUUAUACAUGCAAGUCGAACGAAGGCCCUAGCUUGCUAGGUGUCCUUAGUGGCACACGGGUGAGUAACACGUGGGAACAUACCUCAUAGUACGGAAUAACUGCGGGAAACUGUAGCUAAUACCGUAUAUUCCAGAAAUGGGAAAGAUUUAUCGCUAUGAGAUUGGCCCGCGCAAGAUUAGCUUGUUGGUAAGGUAAUGGCUUACCAAGGCUCCGAUCUUUAGCUGGUUUGAGAGGAUGAUCAGCCACACUGGGACUGAGACACGGCCCAGACUCCUACGGGAGGCAGCAGUAGGGAAUAUUGGACAAUGGGGGAAACCCUGAUCCAGCAAUGCAGCGUGAGUGACGAAGGCCUUAGGGUUGUAAAACUCUUUCAUCGGUGAGGAUAAUGACAGUAGCCGAAGAAGAAGGACCGGCUAAUUCCGUGCCAGCAGCCGCGGUAAUACGGAAGGUCCUAGCGUUGUUCGGAAUUACUGGGCGUAAAGCGCAUGUAGGCGGAACAAAAAGUUAGAAGUGAAAUCCCUGGGCUCAACCUAGGAAUGGCUUUUAAAACUUUUGUUCUGGAAUUCAGGAGAGGAAAAUGGAAUUUCCAGUGUAGAGGUGAAAUUCGUAGAUAUUGGAAGGAACACCAGUGGCGAANGCGAUUUUCUGGACUGAUAUUGACGCUGAGAUGCGAAGGCAUGGGUAGCAAACGGGAUUAGAUACCCCGGUAGUCCAUGCAGUAAACGAUGGGUGCUAGUCGUCGGACUUUUGUUCGGUGUCGUAGCUAACGUGUUAAGCACCCCGCCUGGGGAGUA